rnacentral:rRNA from 1 species
ACCUUUUGUAUAAUGGGUCAGCGACUUAUAUUCUGUAGCAAGGUUAACCGAAUAGGGGAGCCGAAGGGAAACCGAGUCUUAACUGGGCGUUAAGUUGCAGGGUAUAGACCCGAAACCCGGUGAUCUAGCCAUGGGCAGGUUGAAGGUUGGGUAACACUAACUGGAGGACCGAACCGACUAAUGUUGAAAAAUUAGCGGAUGACUUGUGGCUGGGGGUGAAAGGCCAAUCAAACCGGGAGAUAGCUGGUUCUCCCCGAAAGCUAUUUAGGUAGCGCCUCGUGAAUUCAUCUCCGGGGGUAGAGCACUGUUUCGGCAAGGGGGUCAUCCCGACUUACCAACCCGAUGCAAACUGCGAAUACCGGAGAAUGUUAUCACGGGAGACACACGGCGGGUGCUAACGUCCGUCGUGAAGAGGGAAACAACCCAGACCGCCAGCUAAGGUCCCAAAGUCAUGGUUAAGUGGGAAACGAUGUGGGAAGGCCCAGACAGCCAGGAUGUUGGCUUAGAAGCAGCCAUCAUUUAAAGAAAGCGUAAUAGCUCACUGGUCGAGUCGGCCUGCGCGGAAGAUGUAACGGGGCUAAACCAUGCACCGAAGCUGCGGCAGCGACGCUUAUGCGUUGUUGGGUAGGGGAGCGUUCUGUAAGCCUGUGAAGGUGUACUGUGAGGUAUGCUGGAGGUAUCAGAAGUGCGAAUGCUGACAUAAGUAACGAUAAAGCGGGUGAAAAGCCCGCUCGCCGGAAGACCAAGGGUUCCUGUCCAACGUUAAUCGGGGCAGGGUGAGUCGACCCCUAAGGCGAGGCCGAAAGGCGUAGUCGAUGGGAAACAGGUUAAUAUUCCUGUACUUGGUGUUACUGCGAAGGGGGGACGGAGAAGGCUAUG